rnacentral:lncRNA from 1 species
AAGACAGGGUUGAGCCCAGCGUUGGGAGCGGAGGCGUCUGGAAAACGCGCCAGGGAAAUGAGCCAGGGGCAAGAAUCGAGGCGCUUCUCGGCCGUCGAAGGCAGCUUAGGACUGCUGAGAGACUGGAGACGGAGUCUGGCUAUGUCGCCCAGGCUGGAGUGCAGUGGCGCGAUCUCGGCUCACUGCAGCCUCCGCCUCCCGGGUUCAAGCGUUUCUCCUGCUUCAUCCUCCUGAGUAGCUGGGACUACAGGCGCGUGCCACCAAGCCUGGCUAAUUUUUGUAUUUUUAGUAGAGACAGGGUUUCACCAUUUUGGCCAGGAUGGUUUUGAUCUCUUGACCUCGUUAUCUGCCUGCCUAGACCUUCCAAAGUGCUGGAAUUACAGGCGUGAGCCACCGCGCCCGGCCACAACCAGUAUUUCUUGCAAAGCAUAAUACAACUUUAUGUAGUAUUAUGUUUUGAGUGGAAUAAAAAUUCACAAUUGUCAAAGAACCUUUUUGUCGCAUUUCAUUUUACAAUAUUAUUAAAGAAAUGAGGCAAGGAAGAGAUGUUUUAUUGGCACUUUCUAAUUGAUUAUGUCUUCCACUCUUUCUAAUGAAAGGGGUUAUUUUAACACAGCAACAUGAUGAAAGAAAGCCCUAGAGAUGAGUAGAAAUGAAUAGUGUUGAGCUUUUCCAUCCUUCCUGCUUUGCAGCCUGGGGAGUAAAUUUCAGUCCAAGUUACUUCAUUUUGCAGCAAGACAAUUUAAUGAAGUCCACUAGUAGUUUGCUGCUUCAUGAGGUUCUACUGUCAGCUUUGACUUUUGGUACAAUUAAGGAGCCACAAAGUCCCUGGAGUAGAUUAUGAAACUUCUUACCCUUACUCUUAUAAUGUCAGGCUUGAGGAUUUAAACCAGUUUCCCUGUUUCCUUGCACGGUGUUAAUAUACUUGGUUUGCCUCCAAUCAAGUUUUUUUUUUUUCCUUUUUAAAAUCCUCCUUCCCUUAGUGGGAAUAGAUGUUUAAAAUUCAGUGUUCUUGCUUGAUGACUUGUGAUGUAUAUAAAAAAACUCGAUGUUCAUUAAAAAGCUAGCAAACUUUGGCUCAAAGAAAAUGUUGCAUUUAUAGCUAGUCAGUGAAUCUCCUCUGGCCUCAAUUUCCCCAGUUCCACAACACAUUUCUCUCCUUGGGGUGCUGCAAGCGGUUAAUUAAUUAAGAUUUGUAAAAGGCUUUGAGGAGUAGGGGACAAAGUAUUAUUAGGGUCUC